rnacentral:rRNA from 1 species
AUUGAACGCUGGCGGCAGGCCUAACACAUGCAAGUCGAGCGAGCGGCGGACGGGUGCGUAAUGUAUGGGGACUGCCCGAUAGAGGGGGAUCACUACUGGAAACGGUAGCUAAUACCGCAUACUAUCCGAUAACCCAUAUGGGAUUAGCUAGUAGGUGAGUGAAUGGCUCACCUAGGCGACGAUUCCUAGCUGGUCGGAGAGGUUGAUCAGCCACACUGGGACUGAGACACGGCCCAGAUGCCUACGGAGGCAGCAGUGGGGAAUAUUGGACAAUGGGCGCAAGCCUGAUGCAGCCAUGCCGCGUGUAUGAAGAAGGCCCUAGGGUUGUAAAGUACUUUCAGUCGGGAGGCGUUACCGACAGAAGAAGCACCGGCUAACUCCGUGCCAGCAGCCGCGGUAAUUC